CAUAUAUUCCUCCGUCCAACAAGAGGAUGUCUCAACUUUGACUAAAUUUGAAUGCAUCUAUAUACUAAGUCGUGUAGAUACAUCCAAAUUUUAACAAACUUGAGACAUCUUUUGUUGGACGGAGGGAGUGUAUA
rfam:Brachypodium distachyon strain Bd21 chromosome 1, whole genome shotgun sequence.